AUUACUCCUACGGGAGGCAGCAGUCGAGAAUCUUCGGCAAUGGGCGAAAGCCUGACCGAGCGACGCCGCGUGGUGGAAGAAGGCCUUCGGGUUGUAAACACCUGUUGGGGGGGAACAAAACUGAGUGAACCCCUGAGGAAGCACGGGCUAAGUUCGUGCCAGCAGCCGCGGUAAUAAU
rnacentral:rRNA from 1 species